UGGGGAAUAUUGGACAAUGGAGGAAACUCUGAUCCAGCAAUUCUGUGUGUGUGAAGAAGGUUUUAGGACUGUAAAACACUUUUAGUAGGGAAGAAAAAAAUGACGGUACCUACAGAAGAAGCAACGGCUAAAUACGUGCCAGCAGCCGCGGUAAUACGUAUGUUGCGAGCGUUAUCCGGAAUUAUUGGGCUUAAAGGGCAUCUAGGCGGUAAGACAAGUUGAAGGUGAAAACCUGUGGCUCAACCAUAGGCUCGCCUACAAAACUGUUGAACUAGAGUACUGGAAAGGUGGGUGGAACUACACGAGUAGAGGUGAAAUUCGUAGAUAUGUGUAGGAAUGCCGAUGAUGAAGAUAACUCACUGGACAGAAACUGACGCUGAAGUGCGAAAGCUAGGGGAGCAAACAGG
rnacentral:rRNA from 1 species